UACGAAGGGGGCUAGCGUUACUCGGAUUGACUGGGCGUAAAGGGCGCGUAGGCGGCUUGUACAGUCAGACGUGAAAUUCCUGGGCUCAACCUGGGGGCUGCGUUUGAUACGUGCGGACUUGAGUGCGGAAGAGGGUCGUGGAAUUCCCAGUGUAGAGGUGAAAUUCGUAGAUAUUGGGAAGAACACCGGUGGCGAAGGCGGCGACCUGGUCCGAUACUGACGCUGAGGCGCGAAAGCGUGGGGAGCAAACAGG
rnacentral:rRNA from 1 species